AGUGAACGCUGGCGGUAGGCCUAACACAUGCAAGUCGAACGGCAGCACAGUAAGAGCUUGCUCUUACGGGUGGCGGGUGGCGGACGGGUGAGGAAUACAUCGGAAUCUACUUUUUCGUGGGGGAUAACGUAGGGAAACUUACGCUAAUACCGCAUACGACCUACGGGUGAAAGCAGGGGAUCUUCGGACCUUGCGCGAUUGAAUGAGCCGAUGUCGGAUUAGCUAGUUGGCGGGGUAAAGGCCCACCAAGGCGACGGUCCGUAGCUGGUCUGAGAGGAUGAUCAGCCACACUGGAACUGAGACACGGUCCAGACUCCUACGGGAGGCAGCAGUGGGGAAUAUUGGACAAUGGGCGCAAGCCUGAUCCAGCCAUACCGCGUGGGUGAAGAAGGCCUUCGGGUUGUAAAGCCCUUUUGUUGGGAAAGAAAAGCAGCAGGUUAAUACCCCGCUGUUCUGACGGUACCCAAAGAAUAAGCACCGGCUAACUUCGUG
rnacentral:rRNA from 1 species